GAGCAAGGACGCCUAUAUAAAUCGUGACGAAACUUGCAUUGAAGGUUGGCAAAAUCAAAAAAGUUUCUGCGAUUCUCCGUGCCCAUCAAAUCUUUUAAUUUUGAAUGCGGCCUCGAACAAAUCGCUACAUU
rnacentral:snoRNA from 2 species